AAUAUUUCACAAUGGGCGAAAGCCUGAUGCAGCAAGGCCGCGUGAGCGAUGAAGGCUUUCGAGUCGUAAAGCUCUGUCCUAAGGGAAGAUAAUGACGGUACCUUAGGAGGAAGCCCCGGCUACCUACGUGCCAGCAGCGGCGGUAAUACGUAGGGGGCAAGCGUUAUCCGGAAUCAUUGGGCGUAAAGGGUGCGUAGGCGGCCCUAUAGGUCAGAGGUCAAAUGCUACGGCUCAACCGUAGUAAGCCUUUGAAACUGUAGGGCUUGGGUGCAAGAGAGGAGAGUGGAAUUCCUAGUGUAGCGGUGAAAUGCGGAGAUAUUAGGAGGAACACCAGUGGCGAAGGCGACUCUCUGGACUGCAACUGACGCUGAGGCACGAAAGCGUGGGGAGCGAACAGG
rnacentral:rRNA from 1 species